AUACGGAGGAUCCGAGCGUUAUCCGGAUUUAUUGGGUUUAAAGGGAGCGUAGGUGGAUUGUUAAGUCAGUUGUGAAAGUUUGCGGCUCAACCGUAAAAUUGCAGUUGAAACUGGCAGUCUUGAGUACAGUAGAGGUGGGCGGAAUUCGUGGUGUAGCGGUGAAAUGCUUAGAUAUCACGAAGAACUCCGAUUGCGAAGGCAGCUCACUAGACUGUUACUGACACUGAUGCUCGAAAGGGUGGGUAUCAAACAGGAUUAGAUUCCCUGGUAGUCCACACAGUAAACGAUGAAUACUCGCUGUUUGCGAUAUACAGUAAGCGGCCAAGCGAAAGCAUUAAGUAUUCCACCUGGGGAGUACGCCGGCAACGGUGAAACUCAAAUGAAUUGACGGGG
rnacentral:rRNA from 1 species